AACGCGAAGAACCUUACCUGGGUUUGACAUCCUCUGACCGCCUAUGAAAGUAGGUUUCCCCGCAAGGGGCAGAGAGACAGGUGCUGCAUGGCUGUCGUCAGCUCGUGUCGUGAGAUGUUGGGUUAAGUCCCGCAACGAGCGCAACCCUUAUUUCUAGUUGCCAUCGGGUUAAGCCGGGCACUCUAGAGAGACCGCCGGUGACAAACCGGAGGAAGGUGGGGAUGACGUCAAGUCCUCAUGGCCUUUAUAUCCAGGGCUACACACGUGCUACAAUGGCGUAUACAAAGGGCUGCGAACCCGCGAGGGGGAGCUAAUCCCAAAAAGUACGCCCCAGUUCAGAUUGGAGUCUGCAACUCGACUCCAUGAAGCCGGAAUUGCUAGUAAUCGCGGAUCAGAACGCCGCGGUGAAUACGUUCCCGGGCCUUGUACACACCGAGACGUA
rnacentral:rRNA from 1 species